rnacentral:rRNA from 1 species
UAGGGAAUCUUCCACAAUGGGNGCAGCCUGAUGGAGCAACACCGCGUGAGUGAAGAAGGGUUUCGGCUCGUAAAGCUCUGUUGUUAAAGAAGAACACGUAUGAGAGUAACUGUUCAUACGUUGACGGUAUUUAACCAGAAAGUCACGGCUAACUACGUGCCAG